rnacentral:rRNA from 1 species
UACAGAGGGUGCAAGCGUUAAUCGGAAUUACUGGGCGUAAAGCGUGCGUAGACGGUUAUGUAAGUCAGGUGUGAAAGCCCCGGGCUCAACCUGGGAAUUGCAUUUGAGACUGCAUAGCUAGGGUGCGGAAGAGGGAAGCGGAAUUUCCGGUGUAGCGGUGAAAUGCGUAGAUAUCCGGAGGAAGACCGGUGGCGAAGGCGGUCUGCUGGGCAGUUUCUGACACUGAGGCGCGACAGCGUGGGGAGCAAACAGG